rnacentral:lncRNA from 1 species
UGCCCGAGCUUGGCCCAAAUUUCUUUCGGGCUUCGAACCGGGCUUAGGGCCAAAGAUUUUCAAAUUUUAUAGCCCAAGCCCAGCCCGAACCCAAUCAAGCCAAACUGAAUUCAUCAUUUGGGCUAAAUAUUAGGCUGGCUCCUAUUUGUUUGGUAUGACCUACAAGCUGCCUCCACACCACGUGCCAUCUCUCCUCUACUUAGCCCACUCGAGAUAAUCUUU